rnacentral:rRNA from 1 species
GACGAACGCUGGCGGCGUGCCUAACACAUGCAAGUCGAACGGAAAGGCCCUGCUUUUGUGGGGUGCUCGAGUGGCGAACGGGUGAGUAACACGUGAGUAACCUGCUCUUGACUUUGGGAUAACUUCAGGGAACUGGGGCUAAUACACGAUAGGCUCUCCUGAUGCAUGGUUGGGGUUGGAAAGUUUCGGCGGUUGGGUCUCGACUCGCGGCUUAUCCGCCUGUUGGUGGGGUAGUGGCUUACCAAGGCUUUGACGGGUAGCCGGCCUGAGAGGGUGACCGGCCACAUUGGGACUGGGAUACGGCCCAGACUCCUACGGGAGGCAGCAGUGGGGAAUAUUGCGCAAUGGGCGGAAGCCUGAAGCAGCAACGCCGCGUGCGGGAUGACGGCCUUCGAGUUGUAAACCGCUUUCGCCUGUGACGAAGCGUGAGUGACGGUAAUGAGUAAAGAAGCACCGGCUAACUACGUG